GCUGCUUCUUUUUGGCUUCUGGUGCCAGUGAUGGCAUAGAGAAAAUAUGGAAAUUCAUGCAGAGUGAUGACAAAUGGAUAGGUAAAGGAAAAGGACCAGAAAUCUAUCUUCUGCAGGAAAUCUUCAAUAAGCAUCUAGAUCUACAACAAUCUUUUUACAUAAGAACCAUUUAAGAGACUCCUACAAUCCACUAUAGUUUGGUCACAGCUGAAACUACUCUACUUUUCCUACCAGAUCAGGAGUUUCUUUGUGUUGCUCUGGCUAGCCUGUAACUCACUCUGUAAACCAC